CCUACGGGCGGCUGCAGUGAGGAAUAUUGGUCAAUGGACGAGAGUCUGAACCAGCCAAGUAGCGUGAAGGAUGACUGCCCUAUGGGUUGUAAACUUCUUCUAUAUGGGAAUAAAUUACUCCACGUGUGGGAUUGGGUAUGUAUCAUAUCAAUAACGGUCGGCCAAUUCCGCGCCAGCAGCCGCGGUAAUACGGAGGAUCCGAGCGUUAUCCGGAUUUAUUGGGUGUAAGGGGACCGUAGGUGGAUUGUUAAGUCAGUUGUGAAAGUUUGCGGCUUAACCGUAAAAUUGCAGUUGAAACUGGCAGGCUUGAGUACAGUAGAGGUGGGCGGAAUUCGAGGUGUAGCGGUGAAAUGCUUAGAUAUCACGAAGAACACCGAUUGCGAAGGCAGUUCACUGGACUGCAACUGACACUGAGGCUCGAAAGUGUGGGUAUCAAACAGGAUUAGAUACCCGAGUAGUC
rnacentral:rRNA from 1 species